AGCGUGGCGGAGAGGGAGAGGACAUCAAAGCGGCCGUCUUCUUUCUGUGGCUGAACCAAGGCCAGGGCUUCGACCACGUCGCUUCCGCCCGGGAUUUCUAAACGAAAAAGGGGUCAUAGCGGUCUCGGGCUCCUGAGUGGCGGUUUGGGCUUGUUUUUGGAGCCGGGAGGGCGGCCCCUGGGGCGCCUGACCACUUCAAUUGUGGCCCCGUCGCCGGCGGAGGCGGCGUUGGGGCGGGCGUGGUGGUCCACGGGCGUUUGACAUUCCCGCGAGAAUUGAAAAAGUUGGUGGAUUCUUCUUGUAUAGAAAGAAAGCGCUAGUUUAGUUUUACCGGAUUUGUGAGUUUAGGGUUUAAUUAUUUCUGUUUGUGAUCUAUGUGGUUUGUGUAAAAAAGAGGCUCUGUUUUAGAUUUUCUUAUGUGUUUUUUGUUCUCCUUUCAUGUUUGGAUUAACUAUAUUGAUAAAAUGUCUUGGGAAAAAAUGUUAAUUAGGUUAGGAUAUGACUUCCUGAUAACAGUGCUUUCUCCUUGUUAUCGAUAAUUUACAUAAUCAAUCAUUGAUUCAUGUGAUGUUAUUAUGAUUAUCAUGUAUAUACAAUCUUGCACAAUCUUGCAUUUCUUAGUCCCAGUUCUGUUUUUGAGCAAAGGGGUUGUAUAUCAGAGUUCCCAACUAACACAUCAAAUGUAAAUGCAAUUGUUGGAGGUUCUGCUCUUUGCUUUGGACAUGAUGUUAAAGAGAUGGAUUGCAAACCUGUAGAGGGUAAAGUGGCAGGUGGAAUAAAUGGCCAUAGGGCAUUGGGAUUUCACAACAAGAGAAACCGGACAAUUGGACUUGGCGAGUGUGAGCAACUUGAUCUUGUGUUGACUGAAUCAGUUAUUCGUUGGUCAUCAUGCACCCAACUUCCCACAUCACCGAGAUCAUCUCUUGUCUGUUGAGGGUAGACUUUUGGAGAGAUUGAUAGAAUAGCCUGAUGUGGUGACUAAAUUUGGCCUACUGAUGCAAAUUUACUUAACCCGAUGUAUAUGUUUUCCCAAAUUUUUGCAUUCAUGCUUCUGUCUUCUGCUUGGUGCAAGUUGUGGUUCGGAUCUGUCACUUUAAUCAUGUAAUGACUUCUAAUUGCUCACUAUUAUUGUGUUCCUUUCAUCCUCAUUUACCUUUCCGUGUUUAUUAUCAUGCAUGAGUGUGAGUAAUAGGAAUUCUGCCUGGUUUGUAAAGGAAGUUGUAUCUUGAUGGUACUCCAAAUGCUUGGAAAUGAAUUGUAAAUUCAUGUGUUAAAUUAUUA